rnacentral:rRNA from 1 species
ACGAACGCUGGCGGCAUGCCUAACACAUGCAAGUCGAACGGAGAUAGCAAUAUCUCAGUGGCGAACGGGUGAGUAACACGUGAGCAACCUGCCCUUUACUCAGGGAUAACAGUUGGAAACGACUGCUAAUACCGGAUAAGACCACGCCGAGGCAUCUCGGAGGGGUCAAAGUGCUUUAGCGGUAAAGGAUGGGCUCGCGUCCAAUUAGCUAGUUGGUGAGGUAACGGCCCACCAAGGCGACGAUUGGUAGCCGACUUGAGAGAGUGAUCGGCCACACUGGAACUGAGACACGGUCCAGACUCCUACGGGAGGCAGCAGUGGGGAAUAUUGGGCAAUGGGCGAAAGCCUUACCCAAGCAAUGCCGCGUGAGUGAUGAAGGUCCUUUGGAUUGUAAAGCUCUUUGAUUAGGGACGAAUAAAUGACGGUACCUAAAGAACAAGCCCCGGCUAACUAUGUGCCAGCCGCAGC